AACGCUAGCUACAGGCUUAACACAUGCAAGUCGAGGGGCAGCAUUUCAGUUUGCUUGCAAACUGGAGAUGGCGACCGGCGCACGGGUGAGUAACACGUAUCCAACCUGCCGAUAACUCGGGGAUAGCCUUUCGAAAGAAAGAUUAAUACCCGAUGGCAUAAUUAGACCGCAUGGUCUUAUUAUUAAAGAAUUUCGGUUAUCGAUGGGGAUGCGUUCCAUUAGGCAGUUGGUGAGGUAACGGCUCACCAAACCUUCGAUGGAUAGGGGUUCUGAGAGGAAGGUCCCCCACAUUGGAACUGAGACACGGUCCAAACUCCUACGGGAGGCAGCAGUGAGGAAUAUUGGUCAAUGGGCGCAGGCCUGAACCAGCCAAGUAGCGUGAAGGAUGACUGCCCUAUGGGUUGUAAACUUCUUUUAUAUGGGAAUAAAGUUUUCCACGUGUGGAAUUUUGUAUGUACCAUAUGAAUAAGGAUCGGCUAACUCCGUGCCAGCAGCCGCGGUAAUACGGAGGAUCCGAGCGUUAUCCGGAUUUAUUGGGUUUAAAGGGAGCGUAGGUGGACAGUUAAGUCAGUUGUGAAAGUUUGCGGCUCAACCGUAAAAUUGCAGUUGAUACUGGCUGUCUUGAGUACAGUAGAGGUGGGCGGAAUUCGUGGUGUAGCGGUGAAAUGCUUAGAUAUCACGAAGAACUCCGAUUGCGAAGGCAGCUCACUGGACUGCAACUGACACUGAUGCUCGAAAGUGUGGGUAUCAAACAGGAUUAGAUACCCUGGUAGUCCACACAGUAAACGAUGAAUACUCGCUGUUUGCGAUAUACAGUAAGCGGCCAAGCGAAAGCAUUAAGUAUUCCACCUGGGGAGUACGCCGGCAACGGUGAAACUCAGAGGAAUUGACGGGGGCCCGCACAAGCGGAGGAACAUGUGGUUUAAUUCGAUGAUACGCGAGGAACCUUACCCGGGCUUAAAUUGCAUUUGAAUAAUCUGGAAACAGGUUAGCCGCAAGGCAAAUGUGAAGGUGCUGCAUGGUUGUCGUCAGCUCGUGCCGUGAGGUGUCGGCUUAAGUGCCAUAACGAGCGCAACCCUUAUCUUUAGUUACUAACAGGUCAUGCUGAGGACUCUAGAGAGACUGCCGUCGUAAGAUGUGAGGAAGGUGGGGAUGACGUCAAAUCAGCACGGCCCUUACGUCCGGGGCUACACACGUGUUACAAUGGGGGGUACAGAAGGCAGCUACCUGGUGACAGGAUGCUAAUCCCAAAAGCCUCUCUCAGUUCGGAUCGAAGUCUGCAACCCGACUUCGUGAAGCUGGAUUCGCUAGUAAUCGCGCAUCAGCCAUGGCGCGGUGAAUACGUUCCCGGGCCUUGUACACACCGCCCGUCAAGCCAUGAAAGCCGGGGGUACCUGAAGUACGUAACCGCAAGGAGCGUCCUAGGGUAAAACUGAUA
rnacentral:rRNA from 1 species